CAAUAGCGUAUAUUAAAGCUGUUGCGGUUAAAAAGCUCGUAGUUGGAUUUCUGUCAAGGACAACUGGUCCGCCCUCCGGGUGAGCACAUAGUUUGGUCUUGGCAUCUUGCUGGAAGCUGUUGCUGCACUUGGCUGUGUGGCGCAGCGUCCAGCACUUUCACUUUGAGGAAAUUGGAGUGUUUCAAGCAGGCACAUGCCUUUGGACACAGUAGCAUGGAAUAAUUAGAUUGGGCUUUUGCUCCAAUUUGUCGGUUUCUGGAGCUGAGGUGAGAAUUAAUGGGGAUUGUUGGGGGCAUCCGAAUUUAGCCGUCAGAGGUGAAAUUCUUGGAUCUGCUAAAGACGGACAACUGCGAAAGCAUUUGCCAAGGAUGUUUUCAUUGA
rnacentral:rRNA from 1 species